GACGAACGCUGGCGGCGUGCUUAACACAUGCAAGUCGAACGGAAAGGCCCUGCGUUUGUGGGGUGCUCGAGUGGCGAACGGGGGAGUAACACGUGAGUAACCUGCCCUUGACUUUGGGAUAACUUCAGGAAACUGGGGCUAAUACCGGAUAGGAGCUCCUGCUGCAUGGUGGGGGUUGGAAAGUUUCGGCGGUUGGGGAUGGACUCGCGGCUUAUCAGCUUGUUGGCGGGGUAGUGGCUUACCAAGGCUUUGACGGGUAGCCGGCCUGAGAGGGUGACCGGCGACAUUGGGCCUGCGAGACGGCCCAGACUCCUACGGGAGGCAGCAGUGGGGAAUAUUGCACAAUGGGCGGAAGCCUGAGGCAGCAACGCCGCGUGCGGGAUGACGGCCUUCGGGUUGUAAACCGCUUUCGCCUGUGACGAAGCGUGAGUGACGGUAAUGGGUAAAGAAGCACCGGCUAACUACGUG
rnacentral:rRNA from 1 species